CCUACGGGAGGCAGCAGUGGGGAAUAUUGCGCAAUGAGGGAAACCCUGACGCAGCAACGCCGCGUGAGUGACGAAGGCUUUCGGGUCGUAAAGCUCUGUCGAAAGGGACGAAUCCGUUAGGUGCCAAUACCACCUAGCGCUGACGGUACCUUUAAAGGAAGCACCGGCUAACUCCGUGCCAGCAGCCGCGGUAAUACGGAGGGUGCAAGCGUUGUUCGGAAUUACUGGGCGUAAAGAGCGUGUAGGCGGCUUUUUAUGUCGGGUGUGAAAGCCCUGGGCCCAACCCAGGAAGUGCGCCCGAAACUGAGAAGCUUGAGUACGAGAGAGGAAGACGGAAUUCCUAGUGUAGAGGUGAAAUUCGUAGAUAUUAGGAAGAACACCGGUGGCGAAAGCGGUUUUCUGGAUCGAUACUGACGCUGAGACGCGAAAGCGUGGGGAGCAAACAGGAUUAGAUACCCUGGUAGUCCACGCCGUAAACGAUGGAUAUUAGUUGUUGGGAGCUUUUAAACUUUCAGUGACGACGCUAACGCAUUAAAUAUCCCGCCUGGGGAGUACGGCCGCAAGGUUAAAACUCAAAGGAAUUGACGGGG
rnacentral:rRNA from 1 species